UUUUUAUUUUCUUGCUUCGUUUUGGAGAUAUUUCAUUUUGCAUGAUAUGCAAAGGACCAACUUUCUACGUUACACAUGCAUAAUGACUUACUUUAAAAUGUUAUAUAAUUUUGUCACUAUCAAAUAGAUUCGCUCAUAAUGAAUGAUGAGCACGAGAUUUGUCCACAACAACACCCAUGUAGGUUUUCUACUGAUUGUGUUUGGUCGUAUUAAAGAUAUACAGCUUUUAGGGCUAAAUCAUUAUGCAUAUG